AGAGUUUGAUCCUGGCUCAGGAUGAACGCUAGCGGCAGGCCUAACACAUGCAAGUCGAGGGGUAGGGUAGCAAUACCCGAGACCGGCGCACGGGUGCGUAACGCGUAUGCAACCUACCUUUUACAGGGGGAUAGCCCAGAGAAAUUUGGAUUAAUACCCCAUGGAGUAUUUGAGUGGCAUCACUUGAUUACUAAAGUUCCAACGGUAAAAGAUGGGCAUGCGUCCUAUUAGCUAGAUGGUAAGGUAACGGCUUACCAUGGCUACGAUAGGUAGGGGUCCUGAGAGGGAGAUCCCCCACACUGGUACUGAGACACGGACCAGACUCCUACGGGAGGCAGCAGUGAGGAAUAUUGGACAAUGGGCGCAAGCCUGAUCCAGCCAUGCCGCGUGCAGGAAGAAGCAUCUAUGGUGUGUAAACUGCUUUUGUACGGGAAGAAACACUCCUUCGUGAAGGAGCUUGACGGUACCGUAAGAAUAAGGAUCGGCUAACUCGUGCCAGCAGCCGCGGUAAUAC
rnacentral:rRNA from 1 species